UCCUCGAGUGAGAAAUGGCUGAGAACCAGUUCAGCUGCUGGCUAAAGUCAACUCGCAGCCCUGGUAGCUAUAGAUGCUAUGUUACUGGCUGCAGAAGAAAAAAUUCUGUUAUAAUUUCUAAGGUGUAGGAUACAAAAGUUGGGCUGAGGAGUCUUGUGGAUAAAGGACAAUUGCCUGACAAAGACAUGAAGUUCAGAAAGCUAAAAAUUUUUUGGGAGAGUACCCUCCUUCUGAAUCAUAAUAACAAUAAAAAACCUGCCAUAUAGAUCUCAAAGACCUAAAAGCUACUUCAACUGGUGCAAACCGUGGCUCCUCUGAACUGUUGCUGUUUUGCAGUUCUCCACAUCUGCCUCCACGGCUCCUCCUCCUGCUACAACAUAUAAGGCUAAUUAAGAGGAAAGGAAACGAUUGAAGUCUCUGAUAGGAAUGUCCUGCCUUAUUUCCCAAGAUUUAAAACAAAACAAAACAAAACGGAGUCAUGACAUCUCUGAAAUGGUUCAGAAAUUUGGCACAUGUUGGCUGCAAGGGUAGCUGCUGCUGAUGGAAGUUGAGAGUGGCAGUGGGAAUCACGGUAGAAAUCCAAGUUUUUGUUGGACCUAGUACAUCUUCCUGGCCAUGGGUUUGUUUCCCUGCUUAGGACCUGUGUGGGGAUGUGUGGAAGAAUGUUGUCCGAAGGGAACCUGUCUUCAGCAGAGAAGACCAUGAAUCCCUGGAGACAAGAGCCAGUGGGAUGGUGACAUUGUUUGACUUGCUUUGACUGCAUUUCGGUUUGGAAGGCUGUGCUUGACAGGGAGACUGGCACAAAAUAAAGUAGGACACAAAUUAAAACUGCACUAACUACUCUGCUGUAAUUGCUCUUUUGCAUCUUCACAGUGCAUUUUAGGUGUGCCCAGUACCUGGGUUUUCUUUGGAAGCAGGAUAAUCCACCUUGCACAAAGGCAUCCUUAGUUUCUAUUUUAGUAGUGACUGAUGCAGGUUUAUUUCAUGCCCUGGAUCCAUGGCUUUUAAGAUUAUCCUAAGGAAGGCAUUGUUCAGAAGCAUUUGGAAGAAGCAAACAGCUAAGAGGAGAAGACUGAGCCAACAACUGGAUUAGGGAAGGGAGCAGGCAGGACUGAGACACCUACAGCUGGGAGAAAGAGGCUGACAGCAAUCGGAACCAGUGAUCUGGAGCAGAGGAAGGACGUGGCUGGUGGAAUCUGGCAACUGAUCCAGGGACAGAAGCUAGCCAUGCAUUAACUAUGCCAUGUAAAGAAGUUUUGAAUGACUAAAGAAAAACCUUGUACCCAGAAAAACUGUUUAUAGCAUCAUUUGUCCAGACUAUAAAUUAAGAGAUCCAAGUUAAUAUCUAGACCUUUAAAAAGCAAAAAGAAACAAAAACAUCCCCAUUUCUGCUACAUCUUCAGGAGAUAACAGUAUGUUGUCAACUAAAUCAAUGUAAAUGAGUGCUGAAUUCAGUGUUUUCUCACUUAGCUGUGAAGUAUUGAGUGUUUCUUCAGUGGCAUUUUAUUCAAAGGUACCAGCUGGAAAGGAGGAGGAGAAGCUGUGGCUCCAGAGACUCACUGUCAGCUGUUCCAUGCAGCACCACUGACUGCUAGAUCCUGCUUUGGGGCAUUCAUCAUACAUGUGGCUCCUGAGGGCUUCCUGCGUCACAUUAUCCUAUUAUUUUUUUCUCCUUUUGUGAGUUCACCAGAUGACUGAAUGCACAAGGUUAAUAUUGAACUCAGUGAGUCCUUAGAUGGAACUGCUACAACUCGAUGGAAAGUCAUAUUUUCUUUUUUUGAAGAUGGGAUAAUCUAGUAGUGCCAAUGGCUGUUUGCACAUAGGGGAAAAAAAAGGUGAGUCUGUAAGAUCUGAUAAUGUUCUCUGUUCCCAGUAUCUUGCAAUAAAUGCCAUAAAAAACCCACUGAGUGAGGCACAGCUGUAGUUCUUCUACACUAUUACAGAGCAAGUACUUUCAAAAGUAUCCAUUGGAGGACACUAGAACACAACAAAUCACAGGAAAUACGCUGAAAAAAAAAAAGUACAUUUCUCUUUCAAAGAAGAAAAAUGAAAGUAAAACGUUGUUUUAUUUACAUAGCCUGAAAAUCGUUUAUUACCUGACUGUUUUUCUCUGUCACACCUUCUAUAGAUUCAUUCCUGCUUUGUUUUUGGGACAGGUGGGAGGUACCUACUUUCUAACUGCAUGUAUUUUCAUGUGUUCUCAUUUUAAAUAAUACUCAAAUGGGCUCAAGCUUUCCUGUAUGUGUUUUUUUUUUUAAUAUAUAUUUUCCUUUUUGGUUUUUAAUUCUUUGACAGUGUUAUAUUAGCUUUUGUAUCUCAUAUAUAUUUCAAAUGAUUACUUUCCUUGCAUCACCUUGCUUAAAUCUCACAGCAAAAGUUCAGUAAGUCUCUAGUAAUACAACUGAGUUAUAAUUCAAAUAAUGAGACAGUGCUGGACUGCACAACGUCUUUGACUCAACAUGCUUUUUUGUGAAUGAAAACAAGAUUUCAGAGUUUGAUUCAAUCUAACACGAAUUAACUGUCAUCUGCUUUCUCAAUGGCAGAAUCCUACUCCUUUCUGUCCACUUCCAAUGCACUGAAAAUGGCAGUUGCUGAAAUGAUUUUCCUCCUCUGCUGUUCAGAGGGUGGAGGUAGCAGGUAAGUGUCACGUGUAAGCUGUUUUUAUUGUUUUUCUUUGCCUCUAGUGUUCUUUAUAGCUCAGCCCCUUUCUAUCAGUUGUAUUAUUCUCUGUGGCCUUAAUCUCAGUUUUCUCUUCAGCUUCCAUGCCAGUCCUUCUCCAUUUGAACCAAUCUUUCCUAUCGACUUGAAAUGCACUGGUAGCAGGAUGCACAGCCUUGCUGUGUCAUUUUCUCUUGGAACUGACCAUUAAACAUGAAACUCUUAUUCAUGUCUUGCUUCUUAUCUGACUUCCUUGUGAGGAUAUUUUGAAAGACUGAUGUAUGAAUAAAUGUUCAGUGGGGAGUGGUAGGAAAAAGAAAGAUAGAAGUUGUGCAUGGGAUAGUGUGUGCUUUCUGUUUCUACUACUCUGUUAACUUUGUGGUCCACUUGCUGUCAUGUUUUUCUUUCCUUGUUCCAUUGUAAGUAAAGCUAGGUUGUAUUUCCAUUUUUAUAUGCAUUUCAUUAAACAAUGCAUAAAGUAUUUAUGAGGUGGCUUAUAAUGUAAUAGUAGUUUCCAAA